rnacentral:tRNA from 1 species
CGGUAGCUCAGCUGGUAGAGCAAUUGACUUUUAAUCAAUAGGUCCAGGGUUCGAAUCCCUGCC